AGCGAACGCUGGCGGCAGGCUUAACACAUGCAAGUCGAGCGGGCACUCUCGGGUGUCAGCGGCUGACGGGUGAGUAACGCGUGGGAACGUGCCCUCUGGUUCGGAAUAACUCUGGGAAACUUGAGCUAAUACCGGAUACGCCCUUUUGGCGGAAGGCUUGCUGCCGGAGGAUCCGCCCGCGUUUGAUUAGCUGGUUGGUGGGGUAACGGCUCACCAAGGCGACGAUAGGUAGCUGGUCUGAGAGGAUGAUUCGCCACACCGGGGCUGGGACACGGUCCGGAAUCUUACGGGAGGGAGGAGUGGGGAAUACUGGAAAAUGGGCGCAAGGCUGAACCCGCCAGGCCGGGAGAGUGAUCAAGGCCUGAGGGUUGUAAAGCUCUUUUAUCCGGGACGAUAAUGACGGUACCGGAGGAAUAAGCCCCGGCUAACUUCGUG
rnacentral:rRNA from 1 species